UUCCCCUUCGGGGGACAAAGUGACAGGUGGUGCAUGGUUGUCGUCAGCUCGUGUCGUGAGAUGUUGGGUUAAGUCCCGCAACGAGCGCAACCCUUAAGCUUAGUUGCCAUCAUUAAGUUGGGCACUCUAAGUUGACUGCCGGUGACAAACCGGAGGAAGGUGGGGAUGACGUCAAAUCAUCAUGCCCCUUAUGAUUUGGGCUACACACGUGCUACAAUGGACAAUACAAAGGGCAGCGAAACCGCGAGGUCAAGCAAAUCCCAUAAAGUUGUUCUCAGUUCGGAUUGUAGUCUGCAACUCGACUACAUGAAGCUGGAAUCGCUAGUAAUCGUAGAUCAGCAUGCUACGGUGAAUACGUUCCCGGGUCUUGUACACACCGCCCGUCACACCACGAGAGUUUGUAA
rnacentral:rRNA from 1 species